CCACGCGCCAAAUAGCCAGCAGAGACCUCCAGGAUAUGGCUGUUAAUCUGUUUUCUCUAAUCAAACACUUAAUCAUCCAGUCUCCUCUCUGCGUUAUGGAUUCAUGAAUGUGAAGUGAGGAGAGUUGCUCAGUCAAGGUUUUUCACGUACUGCACAUCCAAGCUAGGUAAUGUCUCUGCAACUGCUGCUUCCUGAUGAUUAUAUUCAUCUGAAAUGACUAAGCUUGGUAAAUUAGGCUAAGUCAAGUCUGUGGAGCAGUCAAGGGACGAAUGAAGAAAAGAAUAAUGUAAUGGAGGCUACACCAGAGACAUGGGAAUCUAUCAGCAUGUGGCAAGGAAGGAAGAACAUAGCUAUGUCUUCUAUAUAAAGAGUUGCCUGCAUUCUUCUCAGAAAAAAAAAGACAAUGGAAAGGCAAUGAGUCAUGAGUCUUGGGUUCUAAGCCUGGUUCUACCAUUUGCUAGCUGUAUGAUAAGAAGCAUGUUUGUUAAACCUCUGAGCCUCAGCUUAUAUAUAUACGAAACAGGAAAAAUAGUAACAUAGCCUGCCAUCUUCACAGAUUUGUGAAAAGGUCUUUUAAAUAUCCAAAAAGCUUAGUAUGUAUAAGAAAGAUUAAAUUGGCUGGGCGCGGUGGCUCACGCCUGUAAUCCCAGCACUUUGGGAGGCCGAGGCGGGCGGAUCACA
rnacentral:lncRNA from 10 species